UGGCAAGCGUGUGCGUGUGGCGGCGGUAAGAUUGAAGCGGGCGGCGUGGCCGGGAAGUAUUGGUCGUAAAGGGCCAGCAGGCGGUCUGUGGCGUGUGCGGUGAAAAACCGGGGGUCAACCCCGGACUGGCAGUGGGUAAGGGAAGAGUAGAGGGUAGUAGGGGAGAAUGGAAUUCCUGGUGUAGCGGUGAAAUGCGCAGAUAUCAGGAGGAACAACGAUGGCGAAGGCAGGUCUCUGGGCCACUACUGACGCUGAGAAGCGAAAGCGUGGGGAGCGAACAGGAUUAGAUACCCUAGUAGUC
rnacentral:rRNA from 1 species